UACGUAGGGGGCUAGCGUUAUCCGGAAUUACUGGGCGUAAAGGGUGCGUAGGUGGUUUCUUAAGUCAGAGGUGAAAGGCUACGGCUCAACCGUAGUAAGCCUUUGAAACUGGGAAACUUGAGUGCAGGAGAGGAGAGUGGAAUUCCUAGUGUAGCGGUGAAAUGCGUAGAUAUUGGGAGGAACACCGGUGGCGAAGGCGGCCCCCUGGACCGGUACUGACGCUGAGGCGCGAAAGCGUGGGUAGCAAACGGG
rnacentral:rRNA from 1 species